GCUCAGGACGAACGCUGGCGGCGUGCCUAAUACAUGCAAGUCGAACGAACUCUGGUAUUGAUUGGUGCUUGCAUCAUGAUUUACAUUUGAGUGAGUGGCGAACUGGUGAGUAACACGUGGGAAACCUGCCCAGAAGCGGGGGAUAACACCUGGAAACAGAUGCUAAUACCGCAUAACAACUUGGACCGCAUGGUCCGAGUUUGAAAGAUGGCUUCGGCUAUCACUUUUGGAUGGUCCCGCGGCGUAUUAGCUAGAUGGUGAGGUAACGGCUCACCAUGGCAAUGAUACGUAGCCGACCUGAGAGGGUAAUCGGCCACAUUGGGACUGAGACACGGCCCAAACUCCUACGGGAGGCAGCAGUAGGGAAUCUUCCACAAUGGACGAAAGUCUGAUGGAGCAACGCCGCGUGAGUGAAGAAGGGUUUCGGCUCGUAAAACUCUGUUGUUAAAGAAGAACAUAUCUGAGAGUAACUGUUCAGGUAUUGACGGUAUUUAACCAGAAAGCCACGGCUAACUACGUGCCAGCAGCCGCGGUAAUACGUAGGUGGCAAGCGUUGUCCGGAUUUAUUGGGCGUAAAGCGAGCGCAGGCGGUUUUUUAAGUCUGAUGUGAAAGCCUUCGGCUCAACCGAAGAAGUGCAUCGGAAACUGGGAAACUUGAGUGCAGAAGAGGACAGUGGAACUCCAUGUGUAGCGGUGAAAUGCGUAGAUAUAUGGAAGAACACCAGUGGCGAAGGCGGCUGUCUGGUCUGUAACUGACGCUGAGGCUCGAAAGUAUGGGUAGCAAACAGGAUUAGAUACCCUGGUAGUCCAUACCGUAAACGAUGAAUGCUAAGUGUUGGAGGGUUUCCGCCCUUCAGUGCUGCAGCUAACGCAUUAAGCAUUCCGCCUGGGGAGUACGGCCGCAAGGCUGAAACUCAAAGGAAUUGACGGGGGCCCGCACAAGCGGUGGAGCAUGUGGUUUAAUUCGAAGCUACGCGAAGAACCUUACCAGGUCUUGACAUACUAUGCAAAUCUAAGAGAUUAGACGUUCCCUUCGGGGACAUGGAUACAGGUGGUGCAUGGUUGUCGUCAGCUCGUGUCGUGAGAUGUUGGGUUAAGUCCCGCAACGAGCGCAACCCUUAUUAUCAGUUGCCAGCAUUAAGUUGGGCACUCUGGUGAGACUGCCGGUGACAAACCGGAGGAAGGUGGGGAUGACGUCAAAUCAUCAUGCCCCUUAUGACCUGGGCUACACACGUGCUACAAUGGAUGGUACAACGAGUUGCGAACUCGCGAGAGUAAGCUAAUCUCUUAAAGCCAUUCUCAGUUCGGAUUGUAGGCUGCAACUCGCCUACAUGAAGUCGGAAUCGCUAGUAAUCGCGGAUCAGCAUGCCGCGGGGGAAUACGUUCCCGGGCCUUGUACACACCGCCCGUCACACCAUGAGAGUUUGUAACACCCAAAGUCGGUGGGGUAACCUUUUAGGAACCAGCCGCCUAAGGUGGGACAGAUGAUUAGGGUGAAGUCGUACA
rnacentral:rRNA from 1 species